CGGUUUUUAGUGAUUAUCGAUUUUUUCGUUAGUCAUUACAUAAUUGUACUUCAUUUAACGUAGCUGUUCGCCGUACCCAUACCGAACAGUUACGCUUUUUU
rfam:Lactobacillus cacaonum DSM 21116 NODE_46, whole genome shotgun sequence.